rnacentral:tRNA from 1 species
GCGGGGGUAGCAAAGCCUGGUCAAAUGCGCAGGACUUAAGAUCCUGUGACCUAGUGUCUUCGUGGGUUCGAAUCCCUCCCCCCGCA